GUGCCAGCCGCCGCGGUAACACGGGGGGAGCAAGCGUUGUUCGGAAUCACUGGGCGUAAAGGGCGUGUAGGCGGUCUGGUAAGUGAGAUGUGAAAUCCCUCGGCUCACCCGAGGAUCGGCAUCUCAUACUGCUAGGCUUGAGUACGGGAGAGGACAAGGGAAUUCCUGGUGUAGCGGUGAAAUGCGUAGAUAUCAGGAGGAACACCGGUGGCGAAAGCGCUUGUCUGGCCCGAUACUGACGCUGAUGCGCGAAAGCUAGGGGAGCAAACGGGAUUAGAAACCCCCGUAGUCC
rnacentral:rRNA from 1 species